rnacentral:rRNA from 1 species
ACUCCUACGGGAGGCAGCAGUGGGGAAUCUUAGACAAUGGGGCAGCCCUCGAUCUAGCCAUGCCGCGUGAGUGAAGAAGGCCCUAGGGUCCGUAAAGCUCUUUCAGCCUGUGAAGAUAAUGACUGUAGCAGGGUAAAGAAACCCCGGCUAACUCCGUGCCAGCAGCCGCGGUAAUACGGAGGGGUUAGCGUUGUUCGGAAUUACUGGGCGUAAAGCGCGCGUAGGCGGACAUUUAAGUCAGGGGUGAAAUCCCGGGCUCAACCCGACAUGCCCUUGAUACUGGGUGUCUUGAGUUCGAGAGAGGUGAGUGGAAUUCCGAGUGUAGAGGUGAAAUUCGUAGAUAUUCGGAGGAACACCAGUGGCGAAGGCGGCUCACUGGCUCGAUACUGACGCUGAGGUGCGAAAGUGUGGGGAGCAAAC